AGGAAGACGGCCUUCUGGGUUGUAAACUGCUUUUGCCAGGGGAUAAAAAGAGCGUGCGCGCUUUAUUGAAGGUACCUGGUGAAUAAGCCACGGCUAACUACGUGCCAGCAGCCGCGGUAAUACGUAGGUGGCAAGCGUUGUCCGGAUUUAUUGGGUUUAAAGGGUGCGUAGGCGGUCAUAUAAGUCAGUGGUGAAAUACUUCAGCUCAACUGGAGAGGUGCCAUUGAUACUGUAUGACUUGAGUACAGACGAGGUAGGCGGAAUUGACGGUGUAGCGGUGAAAUGCUUAGAUAUCGUCAAGAACACCGAUAGCGAAGGCAGCUUACUAGACUGUAACUGACGCUGAUGCACGAAAGUGUGGGGAUCAAACAGGAUUAGAUACCCUGGUAGUCCACACUGUAAACGAUGAUUACUCGAUGUUGGCGAUACACAGCCAGCGUCUUAGCGAAAGCGAUAAGUAAU
rnacentral:rRNA from 1 species